UAGAUAAAAAAGAAAUAAAAAAGUUACAGCAGUGUUGUUGGUAGUGGCGGUGCUCCCUUUACACUGUACCUCUGUUCGCCCCUCCAUUGUAUUGAAGUGUCUUAGAACUUGAUUUCUGUUUUGACGUUAAAAUAUCUAAUAUUUCAUGGUGUUGAUUCAAAUUAUUGUUUUAUUUAGUUACAACUUAGUUUUCUUUAAAUUCCACAAAAAUGACUUGGGGCUUUGUCACCUGUGGUCCUAACGAGGCACUCGUAGUUUCUGGAUGCUGCUACUCAAAACCCCUGCUGGUGCCUGGCGGCCGGGCAUUUGUUUGGCCGGCCAUCCAGAGCGUCCAACGGAUAUCCCUCAACACCAUGACGUUACAAGUGGAAUCACCAACAGUUUACACUAGUCAAGGUGUACCCAUUUCAGUGACAGGCAUUGCACAGGUAAAGAUACAAGGUCAGAAUGCUGAAAUGCUGCUCUCCGCGUGUGAGCAGUUCCUCGGCAAAUCCGAACACGAGAUCCAGCACAUAGCCCUAGUAACCCUCGAAGGUCACCAGCGUGCUAUUAUGGGUUCGAUGACGGUGGAAGAAAUUUAUAAGGACCGAAAAAUAUUUUCCAAAAAGGUGUUCGAGGUGGCGUCGAGCGACCUCAUUAACAUGGGCAUAACUGUUGUCUCCUACACACUAAAAGAUAUUAGAGACGAAGAGGGCUACUUGAAAGCGCUCGGUAUGGCGCGCACAGCGGAAGUAAAACGCGAUGCACGUAUUGGUGAAGCCGAAGCCCAUGCAGAAGCCAGAAUAAAAGAAGCAAUGGCAGAGGAACAGCGAAUGGCUGCAAGGUUCCUAAACGACACAGAAAUCGCUAAGGCUCAACGAGAUUUUGAACUAAAGAAGGCUGCUUAUGAUGUUGAAGUGCAGACAAAGAAGGCCGAAGCUGAAAUGGCGUAUGAAUUGCAAGCAGCGAAAACAAAACAGCGUAUCAAAGAGGAACAAAUGCAAAUUGCCGUAGUGGAACGUACGCAAGAGAUCGCCGUUCAGAAAUGGGAGGUGCAACGACGGGAGAGAGAGUUAGAGGCCACAGUGCGCAGGCCAGCAGAAGCAGAGAAAUUCAAAUUGGAGAAGUUAGCAGAAGCUCACAAACUAAAGACUGUUCUUGAGGCCGAAGCUGAAGCUGAAGCGGUCAAAGUACGCGGAGAGGCCGAGGCAUUCGCGAUUAAAGCAAAGGCAGUGGCGGACGCGGAACAAAUGUCAAAGAAAGCGGAAGCGUGGAAAGAAUAUGGGUCGGCGGCGAUGGUCGAUAUGAUGCUCGAGACGUUACCAAAGGUGGCAGCAGAGGUAGCAGCUCCAUUGUCGCAAGCACGAAAGGUCACCAUGGUAUCGUGUGGUGGAGGUGAGGUAGGAGCCGCGAAGCUCACAGGCGAGGUGCUCAGCAUCGUUCAAUGUCUCCCAGAACUGGUGAAAGGUGUUACGGGAGUCGACAUUUCUAAGGAAUCGAAGUGGAAGUGGUCUCAAAACCUUUCCAUCAGUGCCUGAGUACCGGAUUUAAUAAUUCUAUAGCAUUCUUUAAUUGCUAAGAUCGUGUCACGUCCGCUGAUUCUUUUAGUUGUUUCAUUAUCCAUAUAUUGUAUUAUGUGAUAUAUUAUAAUACAUAUAAUAUUUAUGUUGUUGUGUUUUUUAUAUGUUCAAUGGGGUUUUUUUUACUACAUUUUAUAUUAUUAUUUUAUUGUUUAUUAUGUUCCGGAAACGACAAAACGGCUUGAUGCAACUCAGAUGAUUGUUAUACCCAGAAAAUAACUUACCAGUAUUUUAUAAGUAGAUAUAUGUUUAAAUACUAUUAGUGUAAUAUUAAUGGAACUAGCAUUUGUUGAUUUAAAUCAAUAGAAUCUUACAUUUAAUCGUCCAAACAAUAAUAAUUUUAACAGUAUUCUUUUAAAUUAUGUUUUCCUAAUUUGCUUGUAAUCUAAUAAGUAUUUUUUUAUACUAUUUCAAUUCUUAUGUGGUUAACCAAAAUGAUAUGUUGGAUAAAGUAAGCACGAUACGCAAUGAUGAGCACGUAUUGGGCUAUUAGAGUGCAGAGCAAUAAUUAAUGUGCAAACAAUUAUGUACCUUGUCCUUGUAGCAAUAUAGCAUUAAAUAUAUGUCAAUUAAUGGUUAUUAGUUAUCAAUGUGUACUGUGAUAAGGCACUUAAAUGUCUAUAUAUUAUUGUACGUGACUGUACAAAGCACAACACACACUUAUCAAACAAUACCUAUUCACGUAAAAAUAUACUAGGGGGUUAAAAUAUAGAAAUUACAUGAAUCAUAUGCUUCAUUAUGUAUACCCAGCCAAGUAAAUAAGCAUUAUGCCAAGUAGUAUUAAUAUAGUAGUUUUUUUUUCAUUGGCCGUAUUUUACGAACACGUAUUACGAUUUAUAUAAAAUGACUUAUGAAACUUAUUUUAAUUAUUGCACAUUUGAUUAAACAAUUAUAUGUAUAUAUGUAUCAGAUUUUCUUGUUAAACUUAUUUGAUAUAUGUACAACACUAUACAAUCCAAAUGGAACUUGGAAUUGUGAUCUUGUGCUGUUUAUUAUGUGACACCGUUAUACGAAUAACAGUAUAUAGAUUGUAACAGAAUGUAUCAACGGAUAUAUUUAAACCCCUCUAUAGUAUUCUUGAAACACGAUAAAUUUUCCUAAGUAAAAAUUAAAAUUAUUUUUAUACAUUUUUUCCAAACAUUAUUCACACAUGAUUCUUCUUCACUUCUUCUUUCUUUUUCUUAGAGAUAACUAUUGUAUAUAUAAUAGUUUUUUAUGGAUGUUCCUGUUACACUUUUAUGUAUUAUAUAUUGUUUAGGUAAUUAUUGUUCACCGUCAUGAAUGGAGGUGUAGAUGUAAAUAAUUGUAUAUUUUCAUAUGUUUCAUUGUCUGUCCGCAUCUAACAUGGAACUGAAUGUAAUAGAAUCGCUGAUUGACCAAAACUAUACAGUCUACUGUGAAUUUGAUGUACAUAUAAAUUUGAUAUUGAAGGCAGUUUUUUUUAUUAACUAUUGAAAGUACAAAAAUAAAUUUUAGAAUGGUAAGAUUUUGAUUAUCGGAUUCUUCGCUUUAGAGGUUUUAAGCUUUAAGAACUUAAUUUUCUAGUUACUGACAAAGAGAAAACUUAAAAGGCGAUUCUGUUAUUUUCAUUUUAACACAAUUUUUGUCGCUUGGCUUCCUUAACUUUACACGGGGUGAUGGUAGCAGGCUGUGGCGGAACCGCCCACGCUGCCGACGCCGACAACCCGCGGUGACUCCGGGAGAAAGGCACGAUAACUGACACAGAAGUCUAGGCAACUACUCAAUGCUCAUAAGAAUGCUCGCGCAAUGUAAAGUUACAUGCCACAUUGUACCCAAGACAGCGUUGUUCGUCGCAACAGAACAAGACCAUCAGAUGUGUUAAUGUUUUUUUUAAUAUACCUGCCUACCUUUUGUGCUAUGCUUUCAUUAGAUAGGUAAGAAAUUUGUUCAGAGUGCCACUUUUAGAUUAUUUUGUUGAAAUAAACCAAAGCAAAUGGAUGUUGCCCGGAGCUAAGCUGUUUUGUACUAAAUUUUUACGUUUGAAUUGUUUGUAUCUAAGUGAAAAAAAAAUCUCUUCAAAUGUUUAAUUAUUUACCAAUUGAUAUGUUUGAGAAUAAAAUUCAAUUCUAAGGAUUCUAUGAAACGAUAAGAGAAAUUUAUUAGUAAAAAAGUAACGAUUAAAAUGGAGAAAUGUUUACUAUUUAAAUAUUUUCUUAUCGCUUGUGUCUUGUGUAACAGAUGAGCUCUGAGCAACAUUGUUCCAUAUUAUGAUUUAGUAAUACUUAUCACGUCGAAGUUAUCUGUAAGAUUGUCAUGCAUCUCAACGACGAAAAAUACAUACAGUAAUAUAUUUAUAAAAUAAAAUAUUUUUCAAUAUAAAUAUUUUCUUAAAAUAAAAUGAAAUUGUUAUAGUCCGCAAUAAGGAGCUGGACAGCCAGACCUUUGACAGCUUAUAUACUGUUAUUUAACUUAUUUAGUAACGACGAGUAGCUGCCGGAGAUUAUUAGCAAGCGGUGUUUUGUAGUUGUGAGUUCAAGACGGUUAGACUGGCUAGUGAGCUUAUCUGAAACGUUGAUGUGUUGCUGACAUGCAUUUAAUUACGGAUCGGUACAUACUUUGUUAAAAUCCAACGCGAUAACUAUUGAACUGCCUCACAACUGAAUUUUUAAAUACAUAUUGUGCCAAAUCAAUUAAAGUAAAUAAACUAGAGACUUAUUAUACGAAUUUGGUAAAAAAUUUAAAUGUUGACAGAACCUACUGGUCUUCAUUUAAACAUACAUAGAACCGUAGUUGUAUUGAUUCAGUGGAUAUUUUAUGCUAUGCUAUGAAUAGUGUUGUUGUGGAUUUGGAGUUGAUAUCACAAAAGUCCAGAUUUGUCGCAGUUCAAAAGUACUGUAAUACAUGGUUUUUAACAAGUAAAUCUUAGCGAAAAUUCUGAGUGCAAGCGUCGUCGUAAAAUGUACAAGAGUUAUCUAGCGUACCACUUAAUGAGUACUAAUACAAUUUCGACCAAUCGCCUAAAUUUUUUCCCAUUGUAGAUGGUUACAAGUUUAAUGACUGUUAUACAAACAAAUAAAAAUGAUACCUAUAUUUUUUUAUUUAGCUAACUGUCGUUAGGGUAAACGAAAAUAUUUGGUGUUCAAAAAGUGCAGUUUAGAAAUUCUAAUAAUAAUUGUAAUUUAGUGCGUUCGUAGACAUUAUUGAUGUCCUUUUCUAAAAAAAGAAUGUUAGCUAAUUAUACUACGAUCGUAGUUUUUCAUAAGGUGAACGUCAACGUGUCAAAAUAGCAAUUUUAUAUUAUAUCAGCCUCACCUAGUCAUUUUUUUUUAUUAAAUAUUAAUUUAUUGUUAUAUUUAUUCAUAUACAAGUUAAUUAUGUUCAUUAUAUAGUAAUCUAUUUUUAUGGUUUGGUUUAUUUUAGUGGAACCAUAAUGUGAUUGUGGUUCUAUUUAAAAUGUAUAACUUCAGUGUGUAUCCACGCAUAAGUCGUAGUUUAAAUCGGGCAAUCGGUAUUCAAUUAGAUAUAAGACAAAAAUGGAUUACAUUCUUAAUUAUUUUUAAAAGAUAUAAAUGGAUACAUUAUUUUGAAUUACGGCUGAAGAGAUUAUAUGGUCAAUUAAAAACUGUAUGAAUCUCGUAGCAGACGUGAUUAUUUUAAUGAGAAAUUAUACAAAUGUAGUAAAAAAGAACAUCAUUAUUUAAAUAUUAUGUUAAAUUAUUCUUUUAAGUGUAAUUCACAUAGUCCCAUUUACGAGCCCCGGGCCCUCUGGUAGCCAUCUGUUCUUAGAAUUCCGUCAGUGAGAUGUCACCCAUUCUCCACAUUCACAUAUGAACUUAUCGAAAAAAUUUAUAUCAGUGUAUUCAAAUAUUUUAGAGAGCGCACAUUACGUCUUUAUCGAAUAUAGGAAAAUUUGUAAUUAUUGCAAAUGUUUUACAGUAUUUUUCUGUUCAUUGUAUACACAAAAGCACAAGUACAUGUAGUUAUGACAAAAUGUUGAUUCAAUCAUUUGAGUAAUCGGAUAACAGACAGUUCUAUAUAUAUAUAUGUUACUUAAUAUGAACUUGAAAUGUUCAUAUUAAGUAACAUAUACUUACUUAACACAUACUUAUAGAAAAUAGUUGAAUUACUUCUGGUUGCGGAAAAGUUUAUUUAUAUAAUAAAAUCUUAUUAAUAUAAUAAAAUUGUAACUAAAUGACAUCUAUACCUGGGAAAUAUUUAAAAAUUAAUAUGAGAGAACAAAACUUGGUAUGAGGGGUUUUAUAAAGACUAAUACAUGUUAAAACAAUAAUUUUUGGAAAUUUUGUUUAUCUUAACUAUUGCAUUAAUUUAGACGCGGUCUUUAAAGUUGUGGCCUGAAGGUGUAAUCUAAAAUCUGGUUUAUAUUUCUUGAUACGCCAUUUAGAAGCGGUCUAUUCAAUUAGUUUUCAUAUUUCUGAAAUCUACGCGUACGAAGUAACGCACAAAAAGAUAAUAUAAUUUUACUUCUCUUUGUUGAUCGCGGACGGGGCUCGGACGCGGAACUGUAUGAAUGACACUUUAAACAUUAUUUUUAGAGAAAUAUGUUUAUUUACCUCGAGCAUUUGUUGGCUUCAGUGCCAUAAGUAUUAUACCCAGUUCUAGAUUACUUUACAUUAAUUAUUAUUUAAAUAGGUUAGAGUUUUGAUAGUUCUAAUUAGGUUUAAGUGGAAUGUAAUCAAAUUGGCGAGAGCGGUCGUUCAUACAUGGUUUUCUUAAUGUAACCUAAACAAAAUGAGCACAAAGUACCAUACCUAUUAUGUCACUACUAAUUUUAACCUAUAAUUCUUGUUGCUUUUUGAUAUUAGAAAUGAUCACGUUUCAAUCGGUAUUUCGUUUCCUACUGUCUAAAAGUAGCCUAGAUGAUUGAUUGGGUAAUGUAAAAGGUUUUCACCAAAUAAGAUAGGUAUACUAAGUAUUCAACUUAACCGAUUCGACAUGUUAUAUUUUAUCUAAAGUUAAGAGCAUGAUAGUGUGGUUUUUGCAUUAUAUACAAGGCUAAAAUAAUAUUAAUUGUUUGGAUCGAUCAAAAUAUUAAUGAAUAAGUAUGUGAUCUUAAAACGUUCAAUGUCACUAUUAUUCCAACAAAUUUAGUUUAUAUCUGUAACGUUUACGAGUAUGUAUGUUCGUAUGUUAGGCUCCGUUCUCAAUGUGCUGGCCUGGUUGGUUUUGUGACCUAAACUAAGACAUGUUUAUAUAUAUAUAUAUAUAGUUGGAUGAAAAAAAAAUACAUAAAAACCGUUCGAUCAAUAUUCAACUAGCCGAACAUGAUGAUAAUUUCUUACUCGGUUUUACACAUAUUAUAUUUAUAGUAAGAUCUAACUAAAUAGGAACAGCAUCAUAUAAGUUGUUAUGUCUGUAUCACUACCAGCUGCUUAAGGCUCCAGCGGUUUCCGGAAAUGUCAAAAUAACCGGGCCGGUACAGUAACGCCUACCCACUGUAUAUUUUAAGUGUCAUUAUCUGAUAAGAAGUUGAUGCACUGAGAGUGGCACAAUUAUUUAUUUACUUUUUGUGUGUAUCACAAUUUUCAACAUGUAUGUAAGUGUAUUGACGUGGUUUUUAUUCAUGUAUAUUCAGUAAAACUUGCAGAUUAA